UAGGGAAUCUUCCACAAUGGACGAAAGUCUGAUGGAGCAACGCCGCGUGAGUGAUGAAGGGUUUCGGCUCGUAAAACUCUGUUGUUGGAGAAGAACAGGUGAUAGAGUAACUGUUAUCAUCUUGACGGUAUCCAACCAGAAAGCCACGGCUAACUACGUGCCAGCAGCCGCGGUAAUACGUAGGUGGCAAGCGUUGUCCGGAUUUAUUGGGCGUAAAGCGAGCGCAGGCGGUUUUUUAGGUCUGAUGUGAAAGCCUUCGGCUUAACCGGAGAAGGGCAUCGGAAACCGGGAGACUUGAGUGCAGAAGAGGACAGUGGAACUCCAUGUGUAGCGGUGAAAUGCGUAGAUAUAUGGAAGAACACCAGUGGCGAAGGCGGCUGUCUGGUCUGUAACUGACGCUGAGGCUCGAAAGCAUGGGUAGCGAACAGGAUUAGAUACCCUGGUAGUCCAUGCCGUAAAACGAUGAGUGCUAAGUG
rnacentral:rRNA from 1 species